rnacentral:rRNA from 1 species
ACUCCUACGGGAGGCAGCAGUGGGGAAUUUUGGACAAUGGGCGCAAGCCUGAUCCAGCCAUGCCGCGUGCAGGAUGAAGGCCUUCGGGUUGUAAACUGCUUUUGUACGGAACGAAAAGACUCUGGUUAAUACCUGGGGUCCAUGACGGUACCGUAAGAAUAAGCACCGGCUAACUACGUGCCAGCAGCCGCGGUAAU